rnacentral:rRNA from 1 species
GAUCCUGGCUCAGGAUGAACGCUGACAGAAUGCUUAACACAUGCAAGUCGAUGGGGAAGUGGUGCUUGCACCAUGGUAACCAUGGCGGACGGGUGAGUAACGCGUAAGGGACUUACCUGCAGGACUGGGAUAACAGGGGGAAACUCCUGACAAGACCGGAUAAUGUCAUGGAGCUGCAUGGCUUUAUGAUGAAAGGAGACGCCUGCGGAGAGCCUUGCGUCCUAUUAG